rnacentral:rRNA from 1 species
ACUACGGGAGGCAGCAGUGAGGAAUAUUGGUCAAUGGGAGAGAGCCUGAACCAGCCAAGCCGCGUGAGGGAAGACGGCCCUAUGGGUUGUAAACCUCUUUUGUCGGAGAACAAAACCCGGGACGUGUCCCGGACUGCGUGUAUCCGAAGAAAAAGCAUCGGCUAACUCCGUGCCACCAGCCGCGGUAAUACGGAGGAUGCGAGCGUUAUCCGGAUUUAUUGGGGUUAAAGGGUGGGUAGGCGGUCCGUUAAGUCAGCGGUAAAAUUGCGGGGCUCAACCCCGUCGAGCCGUUGAAACUGGCAGACUUGAGUUGGCGAGAAGUACGCGGAAUGCGCGGUGUAGCGGUGAAAUGCAUAGAUAUCGCGCAGAACUCCGAUUGCGAAGGCAGCGUACCGGCGCCAGACUGACGCUCAUGCACGAAAGUGUGGGUAUCGAACAGGAUUAGAUACCCGUGUAGUC